UUGGUAGGCAAAUCCGCCGGGCUGAGAUGAGGCGUGAUGACGAGGCUCUUCGGAGCCGAAGCGAGUGAUACCCAGCUUCCAGGAAAAGCCUCUAAGCUUCAGUCUAAGAGUGACCGUACCGCAAACCGACACAGGUGGGCUGGUAGAGAAUACCAAGGCGCUUGAGAGAACUCAGGAGAAGGAACUCGGCAAAUUGAUACCGUAACUUCGGGAGAAGGUAUGCCCCUGGUACGUGAAGGCCCUCGCGGCCGGAGCGGAACGGGGUCGCAGAGAAUCGGUGGCUGCGACUGUUUAUUAAAAACACAGCACUCUGCAAACACGAAAGUGGACGUAUAGGGUGUGACGCCUGCCCGGUGCCGGAAGGUUAAGUGAUGGGGUGCAAGCUCUUGAUCGAAGCCCCGGUAAACGGCGGCCGUAACGAUAACGGUCCUAAGGUAGCGAAAUUCCUUGUCGGGUAAGUUCCGACCUGCACGAAUGGCGUAACGAUGACCACACUGUCUCCUCCUGAGACUCAGCGAAGUUGAAAUGUUUGUGAAGAUGCAAUCUCCCCGCGGCUAGACGGAAAGACCCCAUGAACCUUUACUGUAGCUUUGCAUUGGACUUUGACGGGACUUGUGUAGGAUAGGUGGGAGGCUAUGAAACCGGGACGCCAGUUCCGGUGGAGCCAUCCUUGAGAUACCACCCUGGUGUCGUCGAGGUUCUAACCCAGCCUGUGAAUCCAGGUCGGGGACCGUGCAUGGUGGGCAGUUUGACUGGGGCGGUCUCCUCCCAAAAGGUAACGGAGGAGUACGAAGGUCACCUAGGUACGGUCGGACAUCGUACUGAUAGUGCAAUGGCAAAAGGUGGCUUGACUGCGAGACCCACACGUCGAGCAGGUGCGAAAGCAGGUCAUAGUGAUCCGGUGGUUCUGUAUGGAAGGGCCAUCGCUCAACGGAUAAAAGGUACUCUGGGGAUAACAGGCUGAUUCCGCCCAAGAGUUCACAUCGACGGCGGAGUUUGGCACCUCGAUGUCGGCUCAUCACAUCCUGGGGCUGUAGCCGGUCCCAAGGGUAUGGCUGUUCGCCAUUUAAAGUGGUACGUGAGCUGGGUUUAAAACGUCGUGAGACAGUUUGGACCCUAUCUGCCGUGGGCGCUGGAAGUUUGAGAGGGCCUGCUCCUAGUACGAGAGGACCGGAGUGGACGCACCCCUGGUGUACCGGUUGUGACGCCAGUCGCAUCGCCGGGUAGCUAUGUGCGGAAGAGAUAACCGCUGAAAGCAUCUAAGCGGGAAACUCGCCUCAAGAUGAGACUUCCCCGGGGCCUCGAGCCCCCUGAAGGGUCGUUGAAGACCACAACGUUGAUAGGCCGGGUGUGUAAGCGUGGCAACACGUUCAGCUAACCGGUACUAAUUGCCCGUGUGGCUUGAUCC
rnacentral:rRNA from 1 species